UCGGACGUCGCUGAGUGUGCCAACAAGCACCCCGGGCAGCCCUUGAGAGGGUUCCAAAUCCAGGUUUCAUUCUGCAGCCUGGAGGAUGCUUUGACGAUCGCCUUGCGAGAGGAAACUAGAAGCUGCAUCGGUGAUUCCCAGACAAGCCACGGGUUAGAGCACGGAACUCCCCCAGCUGGGAGCCCGCUGAUGCAGUGACAAAGGGAGCCCGGCUGAGACCCUGCUCAGGAAGGCAGUGGGCUGGUUAAAAAUAACUGGAGGCACCCAAACAGUAGCUGAGAAGGAAAGAACCACCUGAAAGCUAAGGGCGUGGAAAAGAUGGAAGCUACAGGCCUGAGUGAAGCCACACCUGAAAGGUUGCUUUUCCAGACCUUGAUGGGAAAAAGCCACCAUGAGAGGAACGUGAAGGACAGCUGGGCACCAAGAGGCUGAAGAGCUGGAACCUUCUGUGUUGUUGGCAGCUAUUGCUCCCAGUGUGUGGUUUAAUGUGCUCAUGACAAAGAGAUAAUACCAGAACAAAAUAUUCAACCCACUCCGUGGUUUUCUU